AUUCUUUUUUUAUUUAAAUCCCAAUUCAGUUUCUAUUAUCUGUUAUCCCCUCCUCUAAUCCUCUCUGUUCCAUCGUUUUUUUCUGCUCAUCUAUUACAAUUCUCAGUCAGGUGGAAGAUUCUCUGGAUUAUACACAUCUUUCACAUCUAAAAUUCUUUGACAAAAGAAUGGAAGAUCAGAGCUUUAAUAUCGUAGACAUGGAAUUAUUAUCUAAAAGAUAAAGCUGGAUCCAAAAGAUAAAGCUGGAGUAAUUCUCAAGGGGUUAGUCUCCAACAUGAAAGAAUGAGCUUUCCGCCUAUGGAGUUUCAAACUGUCUCCUAAUCUCAAAUUGUCUUCUAUGCCAUUUACAAGACAUGAUAUCCUUAUGGUACCUCUACCUCACAUAUGGACUUCUUCUUAUUAAUUUCCCAUUGUCAGGUUCUAGGAACAAUUGAUCUAUGUUGUUGGGAGAAUAAUAAAAAGAAAAGAGAGAACAACAAUGGUUAGUCAUUUACUUAAUGCAAUCCAAUUUUUUUAAUUUGGAACCAUUUUUUAUUAACUUUUCCACAAUAUAUAUGUUGAUUCAUGUUCGUUCCCAAAACUACCUUUUGUUUGGCAUAUUGAUUUUCAUUUUCAGCCCAUGCACGGUCCAAGUUGUAAGCAUGAUCAAAGUGGCAUACAAUUUUUUCGUAUUGAUUGUUCUAUUUUGCAUAUUUCAUCUCUCCAAGGUUUGUCAAUAUGUCUUUCUAUAGCUUGCUCAAUCGAUACUGAAACAAGAUAUAUAUAUCCACUCUGUAUACAUUAUUCCUAUUUGUUUUUUUGAAUCUAUGUAUGUAUUGUUUUAACUAUACUAAUUAAAUGAUUAUGAUUUAUUCUCAUCA